AAACACAAAACACAAAACACAAAACACAAAACACAAAACACAAAACACAAAACACAAAACACAAAACACAAAACACAAAACACAAAACACAAAACACGAAACGAAACGAAACAAAACAAAACAAAACAAAACAAAACAAAACAAAACAAAACAAAACAAAACAAAACAAAACCCAAAACAAAACCCAAAACAAAACAAAACAAAACACAAAACAAAACAAAACAAAACAAAACACAAAACAAAACAAAACACAAAACAAAACAAAACCCAAAACAAAACAAAACAAAACACAAAACAAAACAAAACAAAACAAAACACAAAACAAAACAAAACACAAAACAAAACAAAACACAAAACAACAUUACAAGCCACAUGACAUAUCAACAAAAUAACACAAUUAAAACAUCAUCACAACAGCCAAAAGGGCCGAAUUUGAAAAUAUUGACGGACAAGAGUACUAACACAACUUAAAGGACAAAGAAGACAACACCAAUGAAGGCGAUCCCCGUGCUCAGAGAGAUAGAUACCCGCAACACAUCUCAAAAGAC